CCUACGGGUGGCAGCAGUGAGGAAUAUUGGUCAAUGGACGGAAGUCUGAACCAGCCAUGCCGCGUGCAGGAAGACGGCUCUAUGAGUUGUAAACUGCUUUUGUACAAGGGUAAACCUGAAUACGUGUAUUCAGCUGAAAGUACUGUACGAAUAAGGAUCGGCUAACUCCGUGCCAGCAGCCGCGGUAAUACGGAGGAUCCAAGCGUUAUCCGGAUUUAUUGGGUUUAAAGGGUGCGUAGGCGGAUUGAUAAGUUAGAGGUGAAAUGUCCGAGCUUAACUCGGGAACUGCCUUUAAUACUGUUGGUCUAGAGAGUAGAUGCGGUAGGCAGAAUGUAUGGUGUAGCGGUGAAAUGCUUAGAGAUCAUACAGAACACCGAUUGCGAAGGCAGCUUACCAAUCUAUAUCUGACGUUGAGGCACGAAAGCGUGGGGAGCAAACAGGAUUAGAUACCCGAGUAGUC
rnacentral:rRNA from 1 species